CAACAUCAGGAUACCAGCUGAACUUCUGAUGCAUUUGGGGACAAGAAGGAACAUAGGCGUGGCACCUUGAAAACCCUUUUGAAUUUAUAGUCUAUUUUGCCAUUCUGAGGGCUCUGGGUACAUGGCUGGCUUAAUUUCUGUGGAAAAACAACUGGUCCAGGCCCUGAAGGAAUAUAUCUUUUUGGAUGAAGCCAAGCUGUCUAUGAUGAAAAGUUAAAGCUGGGCUGAGAAAAGAGAUACACUGAAACUUUUAAUACCUGAAGAUAAGGAACACUUGAGAAAGUUCGUGGAUAUGUACAAGGUGCUGAAGCAUCUAAGUAAAGAUUGGUCAUUACUAGAGAGAUUUGUCCUUCAGGACCCAU